UACGUAGGCAGCAAGCGUUGUUCGGAGUUACUGGGCGUAAAGGGUGUGUAGGCGGUCUUCUAAGUUUGGUGUGAAAUCUCCCGGCUCAACUGGGAGGGUGCGCCGAAAACUGGGAGGCUAGAGUGCGGGAUGGGAGAGUGGAAUUCCUGGUGUAGCGGUGAAAUGCGUAGAUAUCAGGAGGAACACCUGUGGUGUAGACGGCUCACUGGACCAUAACUGACGCUGAUGCACGAAAGCUAGGGGAGCAAACAGG
rnacentral:rRNA from 1 species